UGUGAAACUGCGAAUGGCU
rnacentral:misc_RNA from 1 species